rnacentral:rRNA from 1 species
UGGGGAAUUUUGGACAAUGGGCGAAAGCCUGAUCCAGCCAUGCCGCGUGUGUGAAGAAGGUCUUCGGAUUGUAAAGCACUUUAAGUUGGGAGGAAGGGCAGUAAGUUAAUACCUUGCUGUUUUGACGUUACCGACAGAAUAAGCACCGGCUAACUCUGUGCCAGCAGCCGCGGUAAUACAGAGGGUGCAAGCGUUAAUCGGAAUUACUGGGCGUAAAGCGCGCGUAGGUGGUUAGUUAAGUUGGAUGUGAAAUCCCCGGGCUCAACCUGGGAACUGCAUUCAAAACUGACUGACUAGAGUAUGGUAGAGGGUGGUGGAAUUUCCUGUGUAGCGGUGAAAUGCGUAGAUAUAGGAAGGAACACCAGUGGCGAAGGCGACCACCUGGACUGAUACUGACACUGAGGUGCGAAAGCGUGGGGAGCAAACAGGAUUAGAUACCCUAGUAGUCCCUGAGCGGGCUGGCAAGGCGCAU